rnacentral:rRNA from 1 species
CCCUUAGAUGUUCUGGGCCGCACGCGCGCUACACUGAUGCAUUCAACAAGCCUAGCCUUGACCGAGAGGUCCGGGUAAUCUUUGAAACUGCAUCGUGAUGGGGCUAGAUUAUUGCAAUUAUUAAUCUUCAACGAGGAAUGCCUAGUAAGCGUGAUUCAUCAAAUCGCGUUGAUUACGUCCCUGCCAUUUGUACACACCGCCCGUCGCUCCUACCGAUUGAAUGUGUUGGUGAGGAGCUCGGAUUGGCAGCAGUUGGUGGUUCGCCACCGGCUAUUGCUGAGAAGUCCUCCAAACCGCCCCAUUUAGAGGAAGGAGAAGUCGUAACA